GAUGAAGAACGUAGUGAAGUGCGAUAAGUAAUGUGAAUUGCAGAAUUCCGUGAAUCAUCGAAUCUUUGAACGCAUAUUGCACUCUCUGGCAUUCCAGAGAGUAUGCCUGUUUGAGGGUCAGUUAAAUAAAAAUCGGUUUUGUUGCUGCUUUUUUGUGGUGACAUUCUGGAAUUGGGUCGUCUUUACCUUUGGUAUAAGUGACCUAAAAUUUUAUAUGAUCUUUCGAACGUAUUUGAAUUUUUUAUGUACGUUUGUAAUAUCGAAUACUUGAUGUGGUCAUUCUCAUGAUACGCGUCUAUAAUUUUUCAUCUAAUGACCUCAAAUCAGGUAAGAGUACCCGCUGAACUUAAGAAUAUCAAUAAGCGGAGGA
rnacentral:misc_RNA from 1 species